UGAGCCUCCAUCUUCAAAGCCUCUCCAAACUCACCAGUUUCAGCAUCAGGGAAAGACAGGUUGCAGUUUUCCAGUAAGAAGCCUCAUGGAUUCCUCCUCAACAAGAACUCACCAAGAAUGUCUUCUUUUGGACCAACACCCACGACUGCCUUCACGCUGCCCCUUUGUUCCCUCAACUGUCUGCCUGUCCACUCUCAACCUCCUCCUCAAAAUACAUCUUCCCAUCCAACCAAAAUAUUCCAUCGUCCAUGAAGGAAGAAGAAUCUGAGGUAGAGUUUCAAGCCAGGCAUACAGUAUUUUGAGGUGAUGGAAACAUUUUUCUUUUUAGUUUCCUGUCUGAGAGUUUAACUGUGUGUGGCUGUGUAUAAAAAAAAAGGAAAAAAAAGAAAGGAGAAUUAAUUUUUAGGCUCUUUUUGGUCAAGGUAGAGUGCAACACAGGGCAACUGCAGAGUUGAAGACUUAAAGGUGAGUAAAAUGAUUUAUUGCAAUGGUUGGAGGAGAAAAACACAAAAAGUCAAAACUAUUAAAGUCAGAAUUGAAGCAGUUAUAACAUUGUCCCACAAAAUGCCCUUUACGUAAAAGUCAGGAAACAGUUUUUAGUUUGUGUUUAUUUUUUGAAACAAUGAAACUGCAGUUCACAGGAGUGGACAUGGACUACUGUGCUCCCUGGUGGUCUGAAAGGAUGGGAACCAUCUUUGAACUGCCAGUUUUCUGUAGAAACAUGAAGAGGUACUACUUUAGCAAUACUCCUGAGGCUUAUUCAGAAUCACCAUUUGACAUAAUAUCCAUGUUAUGAAGGUUAGGGUCUCUCUGCCCAUGGUGGCACCACUAGGCAAAAAAAUAAUUUUUACCAUGAGUAAGUUUUUUUUCUUCUUUAAAGUAGAGUUGGAGAUUAGGAAAACCUUUAAUUUGGCAAGGGAGGGGCUUGCUCAGGGAACUAUCCAUGCCAAGACCACAAAUGUGCACAGAGAACAUGCAAAAAGUCACACAGGAAAGCUGCAACAUAGUUUUUAUCCUGAGGCCUUCUUGCUAUGUUCACAACUACACUGUGCAGCUCUGUUUUAUUACUUAUUUCAUGUCAAAGUCUUCUAAAAGAGAGCUUGACAGACAGAGCAGGGUAGCAAAUAGCUGUGAUAAACAAUGAUUGACUCCCGACAGCUUUACAUGUAGUUAUUUGUUCAGUUUAUGAUGGAUGUUAGAUGUCUGCUCAGUUCUUCAAAAAUAACACAAGUGCUUAGGGAGGUAUUUUAUGUACUAUUUUUAUGGUUAUUAUUAAAAGAGUACAUUUGGAACCCUUCUAAAAUGAAUUGCUGCAUAUAUUGAAGAAUCUCAAGCUUUAUCUGAAGAGGACACAAUCAGCUGUGGCAGAUGAACAUGGCACAGCCAACCAGGUUACUCUCUUUCUCUCUGCUGCAACCUCUCUCCCCUUCCUCAUCUUUUCCUUUCUCUUCAGGUUAUGUGCCCCAAACUUAUCAGACCUGCUUCAGUCCUCAAUUUUAUGUUUCAGAUGUUUCUCCUUGUGAGCUGCAUUAUUCUUUACAUUCUUCAGAGCCGAGAUAUGAACUAGAUUAAAUCUAAUAAAAUGUGGCAACACAUUUCAACACAAAUCAGAGGUGCUUUUUACACAUAUAGGGCUGCAAAUACGAAAGGUUUAGACAGCCUUUUUAAUAUGUUGCAGUGGGGAUUGUGUACAAAAAGGUGAGGAAGCUUUUUCACAACAUUUCAGGAAAACAUGUGGUUCCAUUAUUUUCGAAACCCAGGGUGCAGGUAAUACAGACACAUCCACAGCGACAGCAAAAAAGCACACAUUAAUACGGGUUCAGACAACAGCCACAUUUCAGACUAAGAGCAUGUAAAUAAAGCCAAGCACAGCUAAAUGCAUCAUAAAACUGAGCAGUAAAAACAGCAACAUCAAAACAAAGAGAUAAAUACAGGUAAACAAAUAAAAUCAAUAAUUCAGCUGGGUAACAGAUGCACUUGCACCUAAAUAUGCACAUUAGUACAUCUGUGUGUGUGCUUGUGAGUCAAUGAUGACAUCACUUGUGUGCAGGCAUUUUUUUUUUUUCGACAUGCAUACAGAUACUCCCUAUUUGGCCCACCACAAAGACCUUCACACUUCAAAGGCGUGGGGUUUGGAUCAAACGCAGCGGUUGCAGGUACACAGCUCUCUCUGCGUGGCUCCGCUCCCUUCAUCUAUGGCCCUUUUCAUGUCCGUGCCUGCAGAAGCCACAUUUCACUACAACACUUGAAUCUUAAUUUGGAUUAAUGAGCUCAAAUCAAAUAAAAUUGCAGUUCAAAUAAAUUAGAUGUUGGAACCAGAGUCUAAAGCAAUACUUGACCACGGGCCUUCAGUGUGAAAAAAUAAAAUAAAAUCAUUUGAUUUCAAAGCUUGGGUUGGAUGAAGAGUGAGAAAACUCAGUGGACCUUCAAAGCUGGCUGCCUUUUAGAACAUUCUCCUAUAAAACUGCAGCAGUGCCUCUUCACUCCAAGCACCCCAAAUCAGUUUGCUUCACAUCAGAGGAGAACAUUUUUAUCAGUGAUGAUGAGAGAUUUGCACAAUACUUGAAAUUGUUACAUACAAUUUGAAUUUAAAUGGCAUAUUUUAUUGUUUGAAGACCUAAAAUAAACCCCUACAUACAGGAGGUCUGUUGCAUUAAAAAAGUCUGUUGCUUUUUUGCUAUGAAGGUCAGAAAGUCCUUCAACUUUAUUCUUUAGUUGGACCCGUGUCCCCUUGGGACCUGAAAGUCGCAAGCUCCAGGGUGACUGUCCCCUCUGGCUUCCUUUUCUCUUGCUCCUGUCUCAUCACUUCACCCAUGGGACACAGAGAAAGGUGAAGGAGGGUCACUAAACCUUAAACGCAUGGUCAACUCUAUGUCUGUGCUUUCAUAUCAAAAUCUACAUUCACACAGGGGUUUUUGAUGCAGCUACAACUAUUGUGGCACAGUCUUCAGUCAUUUCUUUAUUUUCUGCAACCAACGAGU